rnacentral:rRNA from 1 species
UGGGGAAUAUUGGACAAUGGGCGAAAGCCUGAUCCAGCAAUGCCGCGUGUGUGAAGAAGGCCUUCGGGUUGUAAAGCACUUUCAGUGGGGAGGAAGGGUGUAAUGCUAAUACCAUUGCACAUUGACGUUACCCACAGAAGAAGCACCGGCUAACUCUGUGCCAGCAGCCGCGGUAAUACAGAGGGUGCUAGCGUUAAUCGGAAUUACUGGGCGUAAAGCGUGUGUAGGUGGUUAGAUAAGUUAGAUGUGAAAUCCCCGGGCUUAACCUGGGCACUGCGUUUAAGACUGUUUAGCUUGAGUACUGUAGAGGAUAGUGGAAUUUCCAGUGUAGCGGUGAAAUGCGUAGAUAUUGGAAGGAACACCAGUGGCGAAGGCGACUAUCUGGACAGAUACUGACACUGAGACACGAAAGCAUGGGGAGCAAACA